ACAGUGCCAGAGCAAACUCUGUGGUUUAAUCAGUAAAUGACCUGAAACUGAGGGCAGCUUUCCUUCCACAGUGAGGUGGAGGUGGAAGGCUUAUUCUCAUCUUCACUGGUGAUGAUGUGCUGUCGAGACCCAAGAGAUGACAACAAAACCCCAACUUGACCAGAAGGAAAACACUCCCUGGGUGCAGUGCUGUCGCGGCCGCUGGCUAAAAUGCACGUGCAGCUUGUAGAAACCGCCCCCUUCCUACCCAGGAGCUGCCAACUGUCUUUACAGAAUGAUGAGUCUUUGUUCCAGAAGAUACAUUUGAGACGUUAAACUGCGCCAGGCCCUGCCUCAGAGCUGAAGACUGUGAAUCCCUGGCUGAUGCGCAUGAAUCAUCUCGUCGUAACUUUCGGUGAAUACGAUGAUCGCCAAGUGGAAGGGAAAUUCAUCUGCAUGCUGUGAGAUCUUUGAAAAUCAAACUUUACUUUAAAAUAAGUUGUAUUGCCACAAGGCGUCCCUUUUUUGUGUCGUUCCUCACCUUGAUAAGAAUGUAAUGGACCCUGUAUAAUGAGUAGUCUCUGAAUCACACCGGAAGAUGUCAAAAUAAAGGAUGAACGUUUCUAAAAAGAACAGCUUCCAUAAUUUUCUCCAAAAAAGGCAAAUCACAUCUCAGUUUUAGUAAGCAAAUAUUUCACCUCCUGUAAGUUAUAUGCAAGCCUUGGAGGCUUGUUAAAAUGGCACCGGAACGUUCUGGAGAUUGUCCACUACAGUGCACCCUGCGCCGCACACAGGAUUAACGUCCGGGAGCUUUGGGAAAGCUCCAGGCCCCUUCAGGACCUCACAUGCCAGGGCAGAGGGAGAGACAACGUCACGAGCAGCUCUUCCAGAAGCAGAACCAGGCUCCCCGCGCAGCCAGCUGCUGAUCGAGGAGGCGCAGGUGAAUUAGAGACGGAAGCAGGGAGGUCAAGAAAGGAGGGCUCUCACGCAGGACCCCACAGCAAGCAGCUUCAGCCCGAGCCGCCAGGAGAACUCAGAGUGUAAAGUAUACUUGAGGGCUGUCCUGACUUGAGGCAAAGUAGCCGAGUCUUGUACUUGAACUUCUCAUUCGUAGGCUAAGAUCUGCACCAAGGGAACAUAAACUCCUGGGUACUCCCAGCUGCACGCACGUGGAUUCAAAGUGACUCGAGUAGCCCAAGGAACAGCCCCCAGAGAAGCUUUGCUGAUGGCGGAAGGAUCCAGAUACUAGGAGACAGGGCGUGUAAAGGAGACAGGGAUUUUGGGAAACCAGGGAGAAGGAAGGACAACAUUCAUCACAGUCCACCCCUGUGCCACUCAGAUCCACUCAGGUUAAGGAAGACCUCUGUGACAUCUUCGAGACGGUUUCUAGUGACCAUGUGUGGGAGUCAUUUACCAGGAGAACAUCACCGGAAUGACCUACAGCGCCCACUGCUACAGCAAGUCCCAAGGCCACAUCACCCCGUGUACUGGGCACCUCUUUCUGCUCCCAGGAGAAUUACUACCGUACCUGUCUAGCCACAAUGUGGUGAAGUCAGUAGCCAGCAUGUGAGGAACAAUUCAUUCACAUGGUCAGACGCUUGGUCUUCACCGGGAUCCCGGACCACGACAAAAGAUGCUGUCACACGGCCCUCUGCGGCAGCUGGCACGGCUCUGAGCAGGAACUCUAGGCAUGUGGACUGCAGGUCUCAUAUUGGAUCCAGACAGAGACUCCACAGGGUGCUAGAUACUUCCAGCAGUGUGGUAUUGAUGAUUUAUAUAACGCAAGAGAUAAAGGUCUUUGUAUUGCACUUGGACCAGCUGCAGGCCUCUCUUGCUCUAGGCCCUUCAAGAUUGUAAGUCCUGCAAGUCAUUUGACAAAUGAGCCAAGGGAGUAUUUCCAAAUAUAGUGCACACU